rnacentral:rRNA from 1 species
UGGGGAAUCUUGGACAAUGGGCGAAAGCCUGAUCCAGCCACGCCGCGUGAGUGAUGAAGGCCUUCGGGUUGUAAAGCUCUGUGGGGAGGGACGAAAAAGGUGGUCAAGAUAACGGGCCACCCUUGACGGUACCUCCUUAGCAAGCACCGGCUAACUCUGUGCCAGCAGCCGCGGUAGGACAGAGGGUGCGAACGUUGCUCGGAAUCACUGGGCGUAAAGCGCGUGUAGGCGGACCAGCAAGUCAGGUGUGAAAUCCCUGGGCUCAACCUAGGAACUGCAUCUGAAACUGCUGGUCUUGAGUGUCGGAGAGGGAAGCGGAAUUCCUGGUGUAGAGGUGAAAUUCGUAGAUAUCAGGAGGAACACCGGUGGCGAAGGCGGCUUCCUGGACGACUACUGACGCUGAGACGCGAAAGCGUGGGGAGCAAACAGGAUUAGAUACCCUGGUAGUCCACGCCGUAAACGAUGAGUGCUAGAUGUCUCGGGUAUUGACCCCUGAGGUGUCGUAGCUAACGCGUUAAGCACUCCGCCUGGGAACUACGGCCGCAAGGCUAAAACUCAAAUGAAUUGACG